UGGCGGACGGGUGAGUAACGCGUGGAGAACCUGCCGUAUACUGGGGGAUAACACUUAGAAAUAGGUGCUAAUACCGCAUAAGCGCACAGCUUCGCAUGAAGCGGUGUGAAAAACUCUGGUGGUAUACGAUGGUUCCGCGUCUGAUUAGCUAGUUGGUGGGGUAAUGGCCUACCAAGGCAACGAUCAGUAGCCGGCCUGAGAGGGUGAACGGCCACAUUGGGACUGAGACACGGCCCAAACUCCUACGGGAGGCAGCAG
rnacentral:rRNA from 1 species